GUGUCACAAAGUGAAUAAUGCAUUUUCUUAGCAGCUAGUUCCAGAAUCCCGGUCCAACAAGGAGAUUGCCUCUGUCCAAGAAAAUAUCUUGAUAAGCUGCUCAGGGCAGAAGGUGAGAGACCCUGAAGGCAUGGGUGUCCAGUGAAAUGAAUUGUUUAUUUUUUCCUCACAAUGCAGGAAAGAGACAAAGGAGAUAGAAGAAGUGGAAUAAGGGGAAAGAUAAGAACUGGAAAGCUGAACCAUAGCCCAGACCCAAGCAGGAGAAAGAGCAAGAAAUGCCUAUGAGAAAGCCGGAAAGAAACCCCUGGAAUUUGGAAGAAAAUGUCUAAAAGGGAAUGGCAAGGAACCUGAGGAACCAGCGUGAGGAAAACCUGGAUGAUCUGACGUCUUCCUCACUUUAUCCCUACCUGUCCACGCCUCCAUCCAUCCACCCAUCCAUCACUGAUCAAGCUCUCACUAUGUCUAUAGUGUAGAAGGUGCCACCAAAUGCAAUGGAACCUCUUGUCUCAUGUGUCUACUUGCAUCUUUAAGUUGAUACACGGAAGGCACAGUCCAAGCACAGGAUACUGGAAGCUAUGGAGGUACAGUGGCCUCUGAGCAAACUGAAAACUCUCUAUCACUAAAGGGUUGGGCAUACAGGGUAUCUCCUCUGCUCUGCCACCUACCUUGAGGAUGCUUUACAUGUGGCUAAAAGUGGAGGCAGAGAUAUUUGGAUAAAUAAAUGCUAGAGAAUUGGAAAUUCCUAGGACAAGUCAA
rnacentral:lncRNA from 10 species